rnacentral:lncRNA from 1 species
AUUCAAGGCUCCACCAGCCGGGGCCCUGGCAGGAACCAGAGUUCACUCAACCGUUCAUAGAAGGAUGCCUUGCAGAGGCACUGGCAGGAAUGAGCUUUGGUGUGGAUUUAACCUGAACAGGGCAGGCACAGAGUGUAUGCUCUGUGUGAAUUGACAUUCUGUAUUUUCAUCCUUCAGACAUGGAACGAAUACAAUCUCCUUUAUAAAUGCGUCGAUCAUUUCUGCCCAGAAUCUCUUCCUGUUCUUAAUCACUUGGCCCGAGGCUCCACUCCUGACCCCAUAACUGUACAGGGUUCCCUCAGGCAGCAGGCUCCUUAAAGAAAAAACUUUACUCUUUUUUUUUGAUGGAGUAAGUGAGUCACAUCCUUUUCAGAAGUAGCAUCCUAACGUUAGUACAUAGGGUGAAGUCACAAAUAGCAGAAUGACCAACGGCGACACCUUCAUAAGCCCUUGAAAUACAGUGAUGGACACAACACCCCUCCCUGGACCCACAGGCGGUGCUUCCUGCAGUCAGGGACCAGGUUCCUGUGUCU